AGUGCAGGUAGAGCAGGAAGCUCAUGUGUAGCAGCGCCAGCAUCCCACAGAGCAGCAGACGAGGAGUCUGACCCACGGUCCGAGACAGCAGAACUGCAACCUGUAGAGCAAGACAGGUGGAUGCAGACAGGUGAAUGCAGACAGGUGAAUGUAGACAGGUAGAUACAGACAGGUGACAGCAGUCAGGUGAAUGCAGACAGGUGGAUGCAGACAGGUGGAUGCAGACAGGUGGAUGCAGACAGGUGAAUGCAGACAGGUGGAUGCAGACAGGUGGAUGCAGACAGGUGGAUGCAGACAGGUGAAUGUAGACAGGUGAAUGCAGACAGGUGACCGCAGACAGGUGAAUGCAGACAGGUGAUUGCAGACAGGUGGAUGCAGACAGGUGAAUGUAGACAGGUGAAUGCAGACAGGUGAUUGCAGACAGGUGGAUGCAGACAGGUGAAUGUAGACAGGUGAAUGCAGACAGGUGAAUGUAGACAGGUAGAUGCAGACAGGUGAAUGUAGACAGGUGAAUGUAGACAGGUGAAUGUAGACAGGUGACAGCAGACAGGUGAAUGCAGACAGGUGAAUGCAGACAGGUAGAUGCAGACAGGUGAAUGCAGACAGGUGAAUGCAGACAGGUGAAUGCAGAUAGGUGACCGCAGACAGGUGGAUGCAGACAGGUGACCGCAGACAGGUGGAUGCAGACAGGUGAAUGCAGACAUGUGAAUGUAGACAGGUGAAUGUAGACAGGUGAAUGCAGACAGGUGAAUGUAGACAGGUGGAUGCAGACAGGUGAAUGUAAACAGGUGAAUGCAGACAGGUGAAUGUAAACAGGUGAAUGCAGACAGGUGAAUGUAGACAGGUGACAGCAGACAGGUGAAUGCAGACAGGUGAUUGCAGACAGGUGAAAGCAGACAGGUGAAUGCAGACAGGUGACCGCAGACAGGUGAAUGCAGACAGGUGAAUGCAGACAGGUGAAAGCAGACAGGUGAAAGCAGACAGGUGACCGCAGACAGAUGAAUGCAGACAGGUGAUUGCAGACAGGUGGAUGCAGACAGGUGAUUGCAGACAGGUGGAUGCAGACAGGUGAAAGCAGACAGGUGAAUGUAGACAGGUGAAUGUAGACAGGUGACCGCAGACAGGUGAAUGUAGACAGGUGAAUGCAGACAGGUGAAUGCAGACAGGUGAAUGCAGACAGGUGAAUGCAGACAGGUGAAAGCAGACAGGUGAAUGUAGACAGGUGGAUGCAGACAGGUGAAUGCAGACAGGUGAAUGUAGACAGGUGAAUGCAGACAGGUGAAUGCAGACAGGUGACAGCAGACAGGUGAAUGCAGACAGGUGACCGCAGACAGGUGAAUGUAGACAGGUGAAUGCAGACAGGUGACCGCAGACAGGUGAAUGUAGACAGGUAGAUGCAGACAGGUGAAUGUAGACAGGUAGAUGCAGACAGGUAGAUGCAGACAGGUAGAUGCAGACAGGUGAAUGUAGACAGGUGAAUACAGACAGAUGAAUGCAGACAGGUGAAUACAGACAGGUGAAUGUAGACAGGUGGAUGCAGACAGGUACAUGCAGACAGGUGAAUACAGACAGGUAGAUGCAGACAGGUGAAUACAGACAGGUGAAUACAGACAGGUGAAUACAGACAGGUAGAUGCAGACAGGUAGAUGCAGACAGGUAGAUGCAGACAGAUGAAUGUAGACAGGUGAAUGCAGACAGGUGAAUACAGACAGGUGAAUGCAGACAGGUGGAUGCAGACAGGUAGAUGCAGACAGGUGGAUGCAGACAGGUGAAUGCAGACAGGUGGAUGCAGACAGGUGGAUGCAGACAGGUAGAUGCAGACAGGUGGAUGCAGACAGGUGAA